CAGAUUUUUAACGUGUGGGGGAUUUGCCUAUAAAAGCAGAUUUUCCCCCGCGGCGGGUCCUUCUUUCUCUUCGAUUCUUCAUGGUGAAUAACCUUUGAUUACCUGUGUUUGCGACGAGCCGUUCAACAAAUUUUUAGUUCGAGACGUUUUAUUAGAGUAUAUUUUGUUUUGCGAGAUUUAGUGCUUUUGAAAUAAAUUUUUAUUUUCGUUUUCCGCGAGUGCUUUGAAGUAAAGGAGGAUGAUCUUCCUGCAGCCAUCCGUCCUCAUCGCUCAGGAAACGUCUUUUAGAAAAUGUAUUUUGGUACGGUCUCAAGGCCCAUUCUACAUCAGCGGCUUCUGCGGUAUCCAAUGUGCCAAGCUUGAUUUCGAACAGUUUCAGUUGAAAGCGAGGUCCAACCUCUU